UACAGAGGUCUCAAGCGUUGUUCGGAUUCAUUGGGCGUAAAGGGUGCGUAGGUGGCGGGGUAAGUCAGGUGUGAAAUCUCGGGGCUCAACCCCGAAACUGCAUUUGAUACUGCCUUGCUCGAGUACUGGAGAGGAGAUUGGAAUUUACGGUGUAGCAGUGAAAUGCGUAGAUAUCGUAAGGAAGACCAGUGGCGAAGGCGGCAUCCUGGACCGGCAUUGACGCUGAGGCGCGAAAGCUAGGGGAGCAAACGGG
rnacentral:rRNA from 1 species